GCCGCUGUGGCUUAGUUGGUAGAGCGACAGACUCGUAAUCUGUUGGUCGUGGGUUCAAGUCCCACCAGCGGCU
rnacentral:tRNA from 1 species